rnacentral:rRNA from 1 species
GAAAUGCGAUAAGUAAUGUGAAUUGCAGAAUUCAGUGAAUCAUCGAAUCUUUGAACGCACCUUGCGCUCCUUGGUAUUCCUUGGAGCAUGCCUGUUUGAGUAUCAUGAAAUUAUCAAAACAUGCCGUUUGUUGAUUCAACCGGUGUUGUUUUGGACUUGGAGGCCUUGCGGAUUCACAUCCGCUCCUCUUAAAAACAUUAGCUGGAUCUCAGUGAGCUCGGUUCCACUCGGCGUGAUAAGUAUCACUCGCUGAGGACACCCGUAAAAAAGGUGGCCGGGAUUGCAGAUGAACCGCUUCUAAUAGUCUAUUGAAUUGGACAAACAUACUUUAUGAUCUGAUCUCAAAUCAGGUAGGACUACCCGCUGAACUUAAGCAUAUCAAUAAGCGGAGGAAAAGAAACU